GACGAACGCUGGCGGCGUGCCUAAUGCAUGCAAGUCGAGCGGGCUACAGUCUUCGGAUUGUAGCUUAGCGGCGAACGGGUGAGUAAACACGUAGGUAAUCUACCCUUCAGAGGAGGACAACCUCAGGAAACUGAGGCUAAACCUCCAUACGUUCAUAUGCAGGGAUGCAGAUGAAGAAAGAGUUACCCGUGAGGGUAGCUGCUGAAGGAUGAGCCUGCGGCCCAUCAGGUAGUUGGUGAGGUAACGGCUCACCAAGCCUAAGACGGGUAACCGGUCUGAGAGGGAUGUCCGGUCACACUGGGACUGAGACACGGUCCAGACUCCUACGGGAGGCAGCAGUGGGGAAUAUUGCGCAAUGGGGGAAACCCUGACGCAGCGACGCCGCGUGAGCGAAGAAGGCCUUCGGGUUGUAAAGCUCUGUUCUAAGGGACGAAGGACUUGGCUGUGAAUAAUGGUCAAGGGUGACGGUACCUUAGGAGAAAGCCCCGGCUAACUACGUGACAGCAC
rnacentral:rRNA from 1 species